UUAACUAAGAUGUCGUGCUGCCGUUGGGUGUUGUAUCUUUGUUGGCUGGGACGACCACUGGCGUACCGAUGUCUCCUCUCUCCUGGGUACAAAACCGCAACGCUGCCGCCUUACUAUACAACACCAUACGACGCGACCAGUUACUACACCGAGGCUCCCAAGUACUACACCACCACGGCACCGGAGUACUGCACAACUACAUUUCAUGGUCGUAUAAUAGGAGAGAAAAGGCGAAAGAAAUCGGUCGAGUGGUCAUCUCCGACACGACAACAGGAACUGCAGUGCAGUAUUUGUCACCAACUGCGUUCUUCGUCGCAUUAUUAGUUUUCAAUCAUGGAGUAUCCCCACAACUUGUGAUGCCCCGAACUACUACACCGAAGCCCUAAAAUAUAACUCUGCCCAGAGUUACACCACGAAGGGAGCGGAGUACUACACCACGAAGGGAGCGGAGUACUACACCACGAAGGGAGCGGAGUACUACACCACGAAGGGAGCGGAGUACUACACCACGAAGGGAGCGGAGUACUACACCAUCACGUAUGCUGCCCCAGCCUUUUACACCGUGGCUCCCAAGUACUACACCACUAACUACGCUUCCGAAAUUUGUUCCUUGGAGGUUCCUAAAUGCUAGAGCCGAAAUUUCCAUUUGAUUUGAUUUAUAUUUGUCGAUUGUCUUCAUGGUCAUUGGUCACUGGGAAUUAAUUGUUGAUCUUAAAUGGGAAAAUAAAAAUUCUAAUGCUGGUAA